rnacentral:rRNA from 1 species
UUAUGGCUCAGGAUGAACGCUGGCGGCGUGCCUAACACAUGCAAGUCGAGCGGGAAUCUCUGAUCGAACUCGGUUGAUUGAGGGAGAGGAUAGCGGCGGACGGGUGAGUAACGCGUAGGUAACCUGCCCUUCACACAGGGAUAGCCUCGGGAAACCGGGAUUAAUACCUGAUAACGCGUCGGGGUCACAUGGCCCUGACGCCAAAGAUUUAUCGGUGAAGGAUGGACCUGCGUCUGAUUAGCUGGUUGGUGAGGUAACGGCCCACCAAGGCAACGAUCAGUAGCCGACCUGAGAGGGUAAUCGGCCACAUUGGAACUGAGACACGGUCCAAACUCCUACGGGAGGCAGCAGUGGGGAAUAUUGCACAAUGGGCGCAAGCCUGAUGCCAGCAACGCCGCGUGAGCGAAGAAGGUCUUCGGAUCGUAAAGCUCUGUCCUGAGGAACGAAGAAGUGACGGUACCUCGGGAGGAAGCCCCGGCUAACUACGUGCCAGCCGCAGC